rnacentral:lncRNA from 1 species
UUUAAUCGACGUGGCUUUGACCGUUGACCUUUUGAUUCGUAGAGUAGCAUGGUAAGGCAGCUAUGGACUCUACGUUUUCCUUUGUUGACUCAACGAUCAACUUUUGAGAGAUGUUGCAGUGGAUGACUUUGACUUUUAUCCUCAUUUUGAUGCAGCAUAGUUUGAUCACUGAUAUUUUUGAACUUAUCUCCUCAUUUUGAAUGGUUGAGCAAUUGUCUCAUUUUCCAGGCUCCUUGUGAACUGGAGUACCCUUUGG